GAUGAACGCUGGCGGCGUGCUUAAUACAUGCAAGUCGAGCGGAAGGACGCAAAGCUUGCUGCGUUGUCGAUUGCGGCGGGCGGGAGUGACACACGUGGAUACCGCCCCUAUAAGACGGGGAUAACUUCGGGAAACCGGCGAUAAUACCGGAGAAUAUUUUGAACCGCACGGUUGAGAAGUGAAAGACGGUCUUGGUGUCACUUCUCGAUGGAUCCGCGCUGCAUUGGCGGCUUGGUAUGGUAAGGGCUUACCAAGGCAACGAGGCAUAGCCGACCUGAGAGGGGUAGCGGGCACACGAGAGCGUAGACACGGUCCAGGCCCCUACGGGAGGCCGCAGUAGGGAAUGCUCCACAAGUGGCGAAAGUCUGACGGAGCAACGCCGCGUGAUUGAUGAAGGUCUUCGGAGCGUAAAACUCUGUUAUGAUGUAAGAACAUAUGUGUAAGUAACUGGGCACUUCUUGACGGUACCUAAUCAGAAAGCCCCGGCUAACUACGUG
rnacentral:rRNA from 1 species